rnacentral:misc_RNA from 1 species
UGUAGGAGUGAGCCUGCUCGCGAUAGCGGUGUGUCAGCCACCAUUUCGUUUGCUGAUACGCCGCCAUCGCGAGCAGGCUCACUCCUACA